CUGAGCCGAUGUACACCACGCAUUCGAAUUGUCAGCAAAAUCCGAAACCAGUUAGUGUCUGCCAUAGAAAUGAUGCACAGUGCAGCUCCAAUCAUCCCACAGAGGUGCUUGAGCUGGAUGCUGGACCGGAGCAAGGACACGGCAACAGAGACGACAUUUCGGACCUGAGGCAUGCAGAGGGAAAAUACCCCAGAUCGGCAAAGGAAACGUGAUGACAAAACCAUUAGCUUACGCUGAAGAAUAGCCGCUUAGCAAAAUAGAGAGAUUUGUCAGGUUCUGCUGCUGGCAUUUCAGAUUCUGCAGUAAUUGGCACUGCAGGCAAAUUCUGUUCAGUACAAAUUGCACGAUUGUCAUAACUUUUUCCACACCGUAAAGUCCGAACAACAUUGCAAUCUUUAUGUCCUCUUGGAUUAGGCACUAUUUGACUAGGAAAUUUGCCUUUUCUCUGUCUGAAAUCUGUGCAGCUAGCUGCCCAAAUUGUUGCUCCAAACUUUUAAUUGAUGCUUCAACAUUUUGAAUUCUUUGAUUGCUGCCUUCCAUGAAUGUUUGUGUUGUAGCUGCCAGUUUAGAAAGUUGAUCUUCCAAGGAUGGCUUUGAUGGCACAAAAGGUUUUUGUACAUGCUGGAAUGGUUUUGAAUUAUUUUGAUUAUCACCCCAUUUGAAAUUAGGAUGAUCCCUCCAUCCUGGAUUGUAAUGAGUUGCGUAUGCAUCAUUCCUAGGCCUUUGAUAGCUGUUCAUCAUAUUAACAUGUUGCUCCACAAGCUCUGGACAUAUUAGGAGAACCUGCUGAUAACUCAAAAAUGCCCCUUUUCUGUGAAUGUUCUGCUGCCCAUUGUUGAGAUUCUGUAGCCAUUGUAUCAAAUAAUUCAAAUGCUUCUCUUGCAGAUUUAUUUGACAAUGAACCCCCAGCUGAGGCAUUAACAUGGCUUUUGGAUGUAGGAUUAAGCCCAUCAAAGAAAAUAUCCAUUUGUGUAUCUGGAUCAAUAUUAACAUGUGGACAUUUUAUAUACAUCUCUGUAUAUCUCUCCCACGCUUCAUGAAAUUCUUCGUUUGACU